UGUUUACUAAUUUAUUGUGAGAGAAAAAUACUGUUGGCUGGCAGAAAAAGUAUGGCACAAGUAUGGCACAGUCUUGUUCAUUUGUCUUAUAAGCCGUAUUUUUUUUUGUCAACGAACAGUAUUUUUCUCUUACAAUAAAAUCAGCGAACA
rnacentral:pre_miRNA from 1 species